UACGGAGGGGGCUAGCGUUGUUCGGAAUUACUGGGCGUAAAGCGCACGUAGGCGGCUUGGUAAGUUAGAGGUGAAAGCCUGGAGCUCAACUCCAGAAUUGCCUUUAAGACUGCCGAGCUAGCAGGUGAGAGAGGUGAGUGGAAUUCCGAGUGUAGAGGUGAAAUUCGUAGAGAUCAGGAGGAACACCUGUGGCGAAGGCGGCCGACUGGGCCGACCCUGACGCUGAGGCGCGAAGGCGUGGGGAGCGAACGGG
rnacentral:rRNA from 1 species